rnacentral:misc_RNA from 1 species
UUUCCGUAGGUGAACCUGCGGAAGGAUCAUUAAUGAGUUGUCAUGGGGUUCGAUGCUGGCAGCCGAUUUUUGGAUGCAUGUGCUUGCCCUAACAAUCGUCUUCCAAACACCUGUGCACAUUUUUGAGGGAGUCUUGAGUUGGUUGCCGCUCUUGGGUGAUUUUCUCACAUUCCCUUAAAUCAUUAUACGCUAUUAACAAUGUUGAACGUGCUCUGUGCCGCAAGGCUAUUAAUAUAAUACAACUUUUAACAACGGAUCUCUUGGCUCUC